CAAGGAAGGCAGCAGGCGCGCAAAUUACCCACUCCCGGCACGGGGAGGUAGUGACGAAAAAUAACGAUACGGGACUCAUCCGAGGCCCCGUAAUCGGAAUGAGUACACUCUAAACCCUUUAACGAGGAUCAAUUGGAGGGCAAGUCUGGUGCCAGCAGCCGCGGUAAUUCCAGCUCCAAUAGCGUAUAUUAAAGUUGUUGCGGUUAAAAAGCUCGUAGUCGAAUUUGUGUCCCGCGCCGCCGGUUCAUCGCUCGCGGUGUUUAACUGGCGUGUCCGCGGGACGUCCUGCCGGUGGGCUCAGCCUCCUCCUCUCUGGGGUGGGGGCGGCCCAACUUCAAAUCCCACCGCGGUGCUCUUUGCCGAGUGUCGAGGUGGGCCGGCACGUUUACUUUGAACAAAUUAGAGUGCUUAAAGCAGGCUAAAACUUCGCCUGAAUACUGUGUGCAUGGAAUAAUGGAAUAGGACCUCGGUUCUAUUUUGUUGGUUUUCGGAACUCCGAGGUAAUGAUUAAUAGGAACGGAUGGGGGCAUUCGUAUUGCGACGUUAGAGGUGAAAUUCUUGGAUCGUCGCAAGACGGACAGAAGCGAAAGCAUUUGCCAAAAACGCUUUCAUUGAUCAAGAACGAAAGUUAGAGGUUCGAAGGCGAUCAGAUACCGCCCUAGUUCUAACCAUAAACGAUGCCAGCUAGCGAUCCGCCGACGUUCCUCCGAUGACUCGGCGGGCAGCUUCCGGGAAACCAAAGCUUUUGGGUUCCGGGGGAAGUAUGGUUGCAAAGCUGAAACUUAAAGGAAUUGACGGAAGGGCACCACCAGGAGUGGAGCCUGCGGCUUAAUUUGACUCAACACGGGAAACCUCACCAGGCCCGGACACCGGAAGGAUUGACAGAUUGACAGCUCUUUCUUGAUUCGGUGGGUGGUGGUGCAUGGCCGUUCUUAGUUGGUGGAGCGAUUUGUCUG
rnacentral:rRNA from 1 species